rnacentral:rRNA from 1 species
UGGGGAAUAUUGGACAAUGGGGGCAACCCUGAUCCAGCCAUGCCGCGUGAGUGAUGAAGGCCUUCGGGUUGUAAAGCUCUUUUGGCGGGGACGAUGAUGACGGUACCCGCAGAAUAAGCCCCGGCUAACUUCGUGCCAGCAGCCGCGGUAAGACGAAGGGGGCUAGCGUUGUUCGGAAUUACUGGGCGUAAAGCGAGUGUAGGCGGUUGCCGUAGUCAGGUGUGAAAGCCUUGAGCUCAACUCAAGAAAUGCACUUGAUACUGGGUGACUAGAGGACCGGAGAGGAUAGUGGAAUUCCCAGUGUAGUGGUGAAAUACGUAGAGAUUGGGAAGAACACCAGUGGCGAAGGCGGCUAUCUGGACGGUUACUGACGCUAAGACUCGAAAGCGUGGGGAGCAAACAGGAUUAGAUACCCUGGUAGUCCACGCCGUAAACGAUGGGUGCUAGACGUUGGCGAGCUUGCUCGUCAGUGUCGCAGCUAACGCGUUAAGCACCCCGCCU